AGAGUUUGAUCCUGGCUCAGGAUGAACGCUAGCUACAGGCUUAACACAUGCAAGUCGAGGGGCAGCAUUUUAGUUUGCUUGCAAACUGAAGAUGGCGACCGGCGCACGGGUGAGUAACACGUAUCCAACCUGCCGAUAACUCCGGAAUAGCCUUUCGAAAGAAAGAUUAAUACCGGAUAGUAUACGAAUAUCGCAUGAUAUUUUUAUUAAAGAAUUUCGGUUAUCGAUGGGGAUGCGUUCCAUUAGUUUGUUGGCGGGGUAACGGCCCACCAAGACUACGAUGGAUAGGGGUUCUGAGAGGAAGGUCCCCCACAUUGGAACUGAGACACGGUCCAAACUCCUACGGGAGGCAGCAGUGAGGAAUAUUGGUCAAUGGGCGCAGGCCUGAACCAGCCAAGUAGCGUGAAGGAUGAAGGCUCUAUGGGUCGUAAACUUCUUUUAUAUGGGAAUAAAGUAUUCCACGUGUGGAAUUUUGUAUGUACCAUAUGAAUAAGGAUCGGCUAACUCCGUGCCAGCAGCCGCGGUAAUACGGAGGAUCCGAGCGUUAUCCGGAUUUAUUGGGUUUAAAGGGAGCGUAGGUGGAUUGUUAAGUCAGUUGUGAAAGUUUGCGGCUCAACCGUAAAAUUGCAGUUGAAACUGGGAGUCUUGAGUACAGUAGAGGUGGGCGGAAUUCGUGGUGUAGCGGUGAAAUGCUUAGAUAUCACGAAGAACUCCGAUUGCGAAGGCAGCUCACUAGACUGUUACUGACACUGAUGCUCGAAAGUGUGGGUAUCAAACAGGAUUAGAUACCCUGGUAGUCCACACCGUAAACGAUGACUACUAGGGUGUUGGAGGAUUGACCCCUUCAGUGCCGCAGUUAACACAAUAAGUAAUCCACCUGGGGAGUACGACCGCAAGGUUGAAACUCAAAGGAAUUGACGGGGGCCCGCACAAGCAGUGGAGUAUGUGGUUUAAUUCGACGCAACGCGAAGAACCUUACCAAGUCUUGACAUCCCUUGACGAUGCUGGAAACAGCAUUUCUCUUCGGAGCAAGGAGACAGGUGGUGCAUGGUUGUCGUCAGCUCGUGUCGUGAGAUGUUGGGUUAAGUCCCGCAACGAGCGCAACCCUUAUGGUCAGUUACUACGCAAGAGGACUCUGGCCAGACUGCCGUUGACAAAACGGGGGAAGGUGGGGAUGACGUCAAAUCAUCAUGCCCUUUAUGACUUGGGCUACACACGUACUACAAUGGCGUUAAACAAAGAGAAGCAAGACCGCGAGGUGGAGCAAAACUCAGAAACAACGUCCCAGUUCGGACUGCAGGCUGCAACUCGCCUGCACGAAGUCGGAAUUGCUAGUAAUCGUGGAUCAGCAUGCCACGGUGAAUACGUUCCCGGGCCUUGCACACACCGCCCGUCAAG
rnacentral:rRNA from 1 species